UACGAAGGGUCCAAGCGUUGUUCGGAAUCAUUGGGCGUAAAGCGCGCGCAGGCGGAUCAGUAAGUCAGGUGUGAAAUCUCGAAGCUCAACUUCGAAAUUGCGCCUGAAACUACUAGUCUAGAAUGUCGGAGGGGGCAGGGGAAUUUCACGUGUAGGGGUAAAAUCCGUAGAGAUGUGAAGGAACACCGGAGGCGAAGGCGCCUGCCUGGACGACUAUUGACGCUGAGGCGCGAAAGCGUGGGGAGCAAACAGG
rnacentral:rRNA from 3 species